UACCUCAAAAAACCACAACAGUCUGUUUCAUCCGACCACCUGAUGAUUCCUAUACGGAUGAAACAGACUGUUGUGGUUUUU